rnacentral:rRNA from 1 species
CUUGGAAUUCCACUACCCUCUUCGAAACUCAAGCAUACCAGUAUUAAAGGCAGUUCCUAGGUUGAGCCCAGGCUUUUCACCUCUAAUCUUAAUAUGCCGCCUACGUGCGCUUUACGCCCAGUAAAUCCAAAACAACGCUAGCCCCCUCCGUAUUACCGCGGCUGCUGGCACGGAGUUAGCCGGGGCUUCUUUACCGGCUACAGUCAUCAUCUUCACCGGCGAAAGAGUUAUACACCCCUAAGGCCUCUCUACACUCACGCGGCAUUGCUGGAUCAGGUUCUCCCCCAUGUGUCCAAUAUUCCCCACUGCUUGCCUCCCGUAGGAGUCUGGGCCGUGUCUCAGUCCCAGUGUGGCUGAUCAUCCUCUCAGACCAGCUACUGAUCGUUGCCUUGGUAAGCCAUUACCUUACCAACAAGCUAAUCAGACGCGGGAUCAUCAAAGAGCGGCCGAACCCUUUCCCCCGGGAGGGCGUAUGCGGUAUUAGCUUUCGUUUCCAAAAGUUGUUCCCCACUCUAUGGCAGAUUCCCACGCGUUACUCACCCGUUCGCCACUAAAGGACAUCUAGCAAGCUAGAGCCUUCGUUCGACUU